CACUUCUUUUUACACUAUUGUUUUACACUGUUGGGAUUACAUAAAUAUAUAUGUUUGUAUCCCACUUUGUGAACAUCAUUCUAUGUGAACUAGAAAUGGUUCCUAAACAUUAAGGGCUGCAUAUAGCUGUAUCAUAGUUUAUAGUUUAUACAUAGAUGCUUUGUAACAUUAUUUUAUAAUGCUAUGAAUGCUAUGGUGAAUAUUUUUGUGAAUCAACUUAUGUUUCCACCAGCAGUUUCAGAGAGUGCCUGUCUCAUCCCAUCCUCCCCAGUAUUGCAU
rnacentral:lncRNA from 10 species